AUGCACGUGAUGGUCAGAGGACAACUCUGGGGAGUUGGUUCUCUCCGUCCACCAUGUGGUGUGGUCUUUAGGGAUUGAAUCAGGUCACAAGUCUUGGCAGCAAACACCUUUACCCUCUGCGGCAUCUUGACCACUGGGUUACAGAGAAUUUAGAAGACAAGAUAAAGAUGUCAGGAGGAGGAGGCAGCUGACUGGAAUCUGUCCAUUCACCCUGUAGGUGACUAUUACAGCGCCUCUGGAUGCCCGUGACAGACAUGUUCCUGGCCUCACAGAACCUCUGUGCAGCCGGGGGAAGACAAAUCAUUGUGAGACGCUUUGGUCUGACAACAGAAAAAUCAAGAGUUGAGGGGACUUCAGAGUUUGGUGGAAAGCCAGCUAGACUGGCUUCCCCUUUCAAAGCAUUCAGACAGACGUGAGAGAAAGUAAGGGGCUUCCAUGAGUUGGGGAGGAAAGCCCUUCUUAGCAGAGAAGAGCGGUGUUGAAGAUUGCAUCAACAGGAGCUUUGUCACCGAGGAACUGGCGAGAACAAACAGCUGGAGUGAGGUGGGGUGAAAAAGUAGACCCAGGAGCUACCUACCGAGCCACUUGCUCUGGGGAGCCAGACAAGCUGGAUGAGACAGCCGACUGAGCUUCCAGCAGAGGAGGGGCAGGCUUGACCUUCAUCUCGGAAGGGUCACUGACGCUGGAGUGUUCUUUAUCUGCCGGGAAGCAACAUCAGGAACAGAAGGCUAGUGAAACAGAAGAAGCCAGCAAUGCUCUCAAGUUUAGCCGCUUUGGGGGAAGCGUUCGGGGGAAGCGUUCGGGGAAAGCGUUUGGAGAGCCUGAAACUCCGAGGAUGGGCAUCCUUGUGUUGGGAACUGGAGCUCCGGAGCGUUGGGAAAACUGCAAAGUGGGUUCAGCUGCUGCCAAGGAAGGCACUGCUAAUGCCAGGGUGAAGAAGUGUUGCCAGGGCGACGUUACAGGAACAGGAAGCCAAUAGAAAUAAGCAAGCCCCUUCUUCCUGCUGCUGCGUUCCCAGCAUCUGCCCUGCGCUCUUUCCUGGCAGCGCAGAGCAGAAAGCAACAGUGGUCUUCCGAGCCAGCUCCAGCAUCACGCACGGCACGGAUAGAAGGUGAAUGUGACAUGAAGAGGCAAUCGCUGAGCUAACAGAAACACGGAUUAACAUAAAUGAAGGGAAUGCACAAGUUUCCAGAACUAGAGAAUUCAGUUGAGAAAUGAGCCUGCUGGAAGAAUGACACUGUUUAACACGGUAGGGCCCUUUGGAGGCUGAAGAGGUGGCUCAGCAGUUAAGAACACUGGGCUGCACUUUCAGGGGACCGGGCUUCAGUUCCCAGCACCAACUAUACGUGACUCCAGUUCCAGGGGAAAUGAUAACCUCUCCUGGCCUCCACAGUCAUUGUAUGUACAAGGUACAUACACUCACAAGGCAGACAAACCACCAACACAAAUAAAAC
ensembl:lincRNA Gm12968 predicted gene 12968